rnacentral:lncRNA from 1 species
UGACAUGGGCAUGUGGGAGAGGACCCAGCUAUCUGGGCUGGUGGAAUUGGCUGCGGGCCGAGGCAACAAUGAGGUCUAAUAAGCAUAAAAGCUUGCGGGCACUGGUGUAGGUAGGGCUACAAGCCCAUGGUGAAGGAACCCAAACCAGGCACACAACCUGGUUGUUUACAUAGUGCCACGGUGGUACGAUGGGUGUGCCGCACCAUGUCUAAGUUCCCUUAUUUUUUUUCGAAAUCCCCUAGGGUUUAGGAAACCCAAAUUUGCUUCUAAUUUAUUUUAUAUAGUUUGACUCACAAAUUCCACAUAACAAUUUAAUUGUGCGAUGCAUGAAACAAAUAUAUAAACAUAUACACUAUAUAUAUAUAUAUAUAUAUAUAAAGGAAAAUAUAAACAUAGAGGGGUUCAUGCAUCAUGGAGAAUGUUUUCAUGCUUUGUGGACGUUUCAAACAUCUUCUUUUAUUUUAAGCGUACCUGAUUAGCAUAAAACGAAUAAGCCUUUGAAUUUGGUGGAAGAUAGCCUCCUUCUACAAUGCGUCAAUUCCUUUGCUUCUGGCAAGAACGUGCUGAUAAUGUGUUGUAGGCCUAUUUGAUUGAAUGAUCAAAGGUUUAGAGAGAGAGAGGGGGCUGUCAAUAUUGAGGGAGAAGAGAGAGUGAUAUAAUUGUGAUUCAUCCCAUUGUGCUUUUAUUUAUAGUAGUAGGAUAGGUAAAAACCUUUCCCUUUAGGAUUACAACAUUGAAUAGGUAAUCUACUCCUAAUAGAAAUAUAAGAUACAUUCCCAUAUCUACUAGGAUUUACAGAAUCACAUUCUUAUUCUAAAUAUGAUUGCAACAUUUACAAUAUUUUUGUAUCUUUUCACGCCUUUUCAUUCUCGUUAAUGACUAUUGAACAUGGUAAAAAAUAAAGUGGGUGGGGCCCAUUUUGUAUGUUGUAAAUUUUUUAAUGUUUAAUUAUUUUUAUUUUCCAUGUCAUCUAAAUAUGUGGAUUUUUUAUAUGUCACGUCGUCCCUUAUCGGUCAAUUGAUGGUUUGACUAAUGAAUGUAUGAAGUUGCAAUGAAAUAAUAAACAAAAUAUGAAAUUAAAAUGUUUUAAACAUGUAUGAGGCUGUAGUUGCACCUAAACUUGAGUGGGUAAAAUGUAAUUUACCCUAUUGUUUACAACAAGCUAGGCCAUCAAAAAUACAUAUUUCAUUUUUGGAAAUAAAAUUUCUGAAACCCGAGAUUUUGUUGAAAAUAUAUCAUCGCAAAAAUUAGAUGUUGUAUAGAAAGUAUUUUCGACGGUCAUAUAUGACAUGCACUGAUCUCGAUGUCCGAGGGACAUCGGGAUGGCCACGUGUUGGCCGACACUCGAGGGUGACGCAAACUAUUUAAUGAAUGCAUAUGCUGAGAACAUGUAAAACAUGCAUAUAAAUUUCGUUCGAAUUACAAAAAUAAUAUACUAAUAUUCAACUGGAAACAAUGAUAAAAAUAGCGAUAAUGCAUGACAUGUUCAGAGCAUAGAACUAAUUUAGAGUACAUGCGGAAGAUAAACUAGAGAGGUGCUAUUACAAUAGAAGUCAAAGCAAAGAGGAUGGCGCGGUAUCACUAAUAGGGGAAUGCCUCGUAUCUCGGAUCAUAUUCCUCGUUCCUAUGUCCUGAGGGGGCGCAAAAUAAACAUAAGUGGACCAAGUUGAUAUAUAUAAUAUUGAAAUAGUUAUCAACAUACUAACUCCCAAAGUUUUAUGAAAACUAAUAGCAUAAUAUGUGAUAGAUUUUCCGAAACCUUAGCAUGCCAUAAAACCUUUCAUGAAACAUAUCUCGUAUAUAUAGUGUGUGCUAACUAGUGGUAUCCUAGUCACCCGUGAUGUUCAAUAAUUAUAUCUCCCUGCCCAUAGUUAACUACUAGGUCUUUGCGCUUGAAGCCAACUCCAUGUCUUUCGGCACGAAGCCAAAGAUUAUUUCUCCCGGCCUGAAGCCAACUCCUAUCUUUGCCCGUAGGCAGAACCGUGACCACUAGAUACGCACAAAAACAUUGAAUAUAUACUUUCCAAACAUAGGUACAUAUAUCUCAAAAACAUCUUCAUAGCAUAUAGUCGUCCAUCAUAUAUACUAUAAAGAAGUGCGUAAAAACAUGUUUGUAAACAGUAUAUAGUCAUCCAUCAUAUAUACUACAAAGAACAUCAAUUCGAUAAAAUAUGGUAAUACAAAAUAUUCUUAGUAAGCAUAAUAUCUCAUAAAAUGUAGUUAUUAAAUCAUGCUUUUCAUGUAUGCAUUUCUACUAUUAAAACAUGCAUUUUAGAAGGGGUCCACUCACAGAUACUUCGUUGUCGAAGAGCCGUAUGAAAUAGGAAUGACAAAAUCGUCGCUAAUAUUCGCACCUAAGCACAUAAAGGGUACAAUUAAUAAAACUAUACUCAAACGAUUGAAUUUCAGGAAACGGACAUCAUAAACUGAUUCAGGAUGCUGAAAAACAUAAAAAGGGACCUCGAGUACGGUCACACGUAGCCCCACGCGCCCUUACGCGCUACCGUAAGGUGGUGGCUUUAGCGGCCACGCGCACGGGAAAAGUCGCUGGCUCUGCCGUGAACGGUGGUGCACCCCACUCGCUGGCCACGCGCAGGCUCACGUGCAGCUGGGCUUAGGUUUUGGACCGAGUUUAGGCCAGGGCCUGGGAUCUUGGGUCAGAGGCCCAAGUUAUGCACAGCCCGAAAGCCUAGGUCCAAAAGGGUUAAAGGGUUUUGGGUCAAAAGGCAUAGGCUUAAAAGCCCGACCCAAGUGCCUUUGGGUUUUGGAAAGUAAAUAAAAUAAAUAAUUAAAUGGAUUUGGGUUUAACUGGCUAAGGCUCGAGUUCCAAAUGGCCCGAAAACCUAAAAGACAAGGGUUUGGGCUUUGGGCUGCCCUAAGGCUUGGGCUUUUGGUUUAAGCCCAAAGGCCUUGAUUUUCUUUCUCGCCGGGGAAAGAGGCCAGAGCCUCUCGUGCUCCAGUCAACGGUAAACCAACCUACUAACCUCUGAUCUAACUAGCAAAUUAAAGAUAGAGACAAGAGGGAGAGGUUGGUACCUGAGAUUCAUCGUGAAACGGUUAGAGGUGGUCGGGUUUUUGCUCAAACACCAUGGGAUUCGCCAGGGUUCGCCGCAUUCCACAGAGACAAAGAGAGGGAAAGAAAGAGUGAUUCCAUGGUGGUGAGUGUGGUGGUGUCGUCGCCAGUGGAUCUCCUUGGGUGUGGGGGUGCCUAGGUUUGUCGUCAGUGUGGGUGAGGGCAGGAAGACAGAGAGAGUUAUGUGAGAGAAAGAAUAGUGAGUUGAGAGAGUGAAAGAGAGAGAGCUUGGGGAAAAGAGAAAGAGAGAGAGAGAGAAAUAGAGUGAGUUAGUGGGUUGUCACGUGGCAGGCAAUGAGAGAAGAGAAAAUAUGAGGAAGAUCCCAAAAGCAAACCAUAUUGGGUAGGGGAUAUAAGGUAUAAUUGUAAUUUCAAUAAAUCUUUAGGGGAAAAAAAUGAAUUUAAAAUUAGUUUGGCGGUGGGGUUUAACAAUUUAUGUGUUCGUGACCAUAUUAACACGUUGGAAAUGAAAGAAGUUUGUCGUUUUCAAAUUUUUAUUUUGACAAAAACUAUCAAAUUUUUAUUUUGCCCUGGUAAUGAAUUUCUAGUUUCUCAAAAAAAAAAAAAAAAGUCGAGGGAUGUGAUUGCAUUAUUUAUCUAGGAUUUGAUUUUGAGUUAUUCAUGGUUUUGCCAUCGAGUUUCUACAUUUGGGAUCUUCUCCACCAAAAAAAGGGCUUGGGCUAUUGCGUUUGGGCCCGAAGUCUAAUGUCUCGUGGGUAGGCGAAAUGACUAUUUUGCUUUAUUUAAUAUGGAUCGAACAGACAGGAAUUGGGAGUGCUUUGGUCAUUUUUCACUUAGGUGGGGGGGUGUUUGGUAUCGGUGUCAUUCUGAGAGCCUUCACGAGGUGGGUGCACGAUUUGGGGGAGAGAAAGAGAAGGUAGGGUUGAGGGCUUCACGGAGUGGGUGCCCGAUUUGGGGAACUCAUAAUACCCAUUUCGAUUUAGGGAUCUCACAAUCGUAGCUUCUGUUUCAUGGAAUGGGUGCCCGAUUCGGAUUGUUCUGAUUGUAUUUUGUUUCUAUUCGCUUGAUUUCAAACUUCUCAAUAUAUAUUUCAUUCGGGAUUUUUAAUUGUUGUAUUUUUUUUUAUGGAAUUUAAUGCUUGGAAUUAUACAAAUGGGGUUAAAUUGAUUGUGGCUAGAGAUAGCAACGGUUCGGUUUGGGAACAGAAAUGCAAUAUCUAACCCUAUAACCACAAAAAAUUAACCAUAUCUAUAACCGUCAAUUAACCAUCGGGUAUUAUCAAUAACCAUACUCACCGGGUAACGGAUUCCUCAUCGGUUAACAGUUAUACCCAUAUUCGUCAAUACAAAAAAUAUAUUCGUUCAAUUGACGCAUGAUAAUUUAGUAAAUAUAAUUUCGUCAUUAAAUAUUUGAUGCAUAAAAUGAUUUAAUGAAUAGAUAUUGUGGAGCAUAAAAAUUAAAACUAAACAUUGAUAAUGUUGGUUGAUAUUUGAUAUCUCUGAUAAGUACUAUUGGUUUGGAUUCUCAUAGAUUUGAUUCAUAUAAAAACUUUUUAACUUGCCCACAAAAUACAACUCACACAGUGUAACUUUUGUAUUCUCAAGGUCAGGGAUUCAGUGAAUUAU